rnacentral:tRNA from 1 species
GUGUCAAUGGUGUGGCACGCGUACUUG